rnacentral:rRNA from 1 species
UACGUAGGGUGCGAGCGUUGUCCGGAAUUAUUGGGCGUAAAGAGCUUGUAGGCGGUUUGUCGCGUCUGCCGUGAAAAUUCGAGGCUCAACCUCGAACUUGCGGUGGGUACGGGCAGACUAGAGUGCGGUAGGGGAGAUUGGAAUUCCUGGUGUAGCGGUGGAAUGCGCAGAUAUCGGGAGGAACACCAGUGGCGAAGGCGACUAUCUGGGCUGCAACUGACGCUGAGGCGCGAAGGCUAGGGUAGCAAACAGG